rnacentral:lncRNA from 1 species
CUAGAUAGGAAUACUGGGAUCGGGGAUAGAUUCUAGUAUCAAGUCACAAUCGGCAUCAAUAAAUAGUGAUGACCCAACUUGGCAAUAUUAUCAAUUUGUUGACAAUACUCAUGGCAAUAUUAGAACAAGAUGUUAAUAUUGUAGAAAAGUAAUAAUAGCUAAAAUCAUCCUAAUGAGGAUCAUCUAUUGGGGAAAAUAGGUCACUUAAUAUCCAUUAAUCAUUUC